ACGUAGGUGGCAAGCGUUGUCCGGAUUUAUUGGGCGUAAAGGGAACGCAGGCGGUCUUUUAAGUCUGAUGUGAAAACCUUCGGCUUAACCGGAGUAGUGCAUUGGAAACUGGAAGACUUGAGUGCAGAAGAGGAGAGUGGAACUCCAUGUGUAGCGGUGAAAUGCGUAGAUAUAUGGAAGAACACCAGUGGCGAAAGCGGCUCUCUGGUCUGUAACUGACGCUGAGGUUCGAAAGCGUGGGUAGCAAACAG
rnacentral:rRNA from 1 species